GGGAGAGGUGGGGAUUCUCCCAGUUGGAGUUUAGGUUGUUCAGAUACUGUCACCGCUUUCAAAGCAGCAGCUACACUGGAUUCUCUGCUGAUCCACCAUGAACUUCCCUGUGGUGAUAUUGGCCUUGGCCUUGGCUGUUUUUACAGGAUCCCAGGCUUCUAGACCAAAGAAUGAAUCGGCACCCAGGCUGCCGAAGUCGACUGAAGAGUGGGAACAAGAAUUAAUACAGGUUUUUGGACCAGUGGGAGAACAACUUGGCAUUCUCUGGGAUUCAGACUUUGCUAAGGAGCUAAGAAACCUGCUUAAUUCAUUGGCCUCCAACGUCACUGACACCUGGAAUCAGCAUGACUGGCCUGAGGACCUCCGAGAAGAAUGUUCCCAGGCUUCUGCCUUAAAGAACGAGUCAGAAACCAGUCUGGAGGAGUCGUUCAAUGAAUGGGAGUCGGAAUUAAGAAAGGUUUUCCAAUCACUGGGACUUCAACUGUAUUUGCUCAGGGAAUCAGAAUUUGCGGAGGAACUAAAAUUUCUGGGUUUUGCCUGGACCUUCAAUGCCUCUAAAUUCUGGAUUGGCUAUGACUGGCCUGAGGACAUCCAACAAACACUUCAUUUCUUCCAUGGAGAUUCCCCCAAACCUGUAACUACGGACCUGGCAAAAGCUGUAACGGCUGCAACUGCUGACCUGGCCAAAGCUAUAAGUGUUGGCCUGGUGAGAGCUGUAUCUGCUGUAAUUGCCGGUGUGGCAAAAGCUAUCGCUGCUUGCCUGUCAAAAGCUGUAUCGACUGUCCUGGGAAACUGGGGGGAACCUUCCGAAGGGGAAUUACUUGAUGAUGCAUCUGAAGAACCAGCUGUUUAUAUAGAUCUAGAUGUGAACCCUUUAACUCCAGAGGAGGAUUCCAUAUUGAGUGGUCUGGUUGCCAGGGCCCUGGCGCUGGUCCCCAAGGUAAUUGUGACACGCGCCAACGCUCAGUCUGUUGGAGAUCGGCUGGCCCCUUACGUGAAAGAACGGAGCGAACACGCAGAGUCUGUUCAGCCAACGGUUAUUAAGGUCAAGGAAAACAUCGUAUUAGCACAGAAGGCCCUCAAUAAGUACGUCUCAAAUCCUUACAUUUUCCCAAUUGUGAAGGCAGCUGAAAAAUAUGCCCCUGACUUUCAAGUAUGGGUUCCAACCUGGGUCAUUCCUCCUUUCCAAUAAAGGAAAGUCUGUAAUCAUCGCUCAGCCUUUUGGUGGCUUCUUAAAACUCAUGGAUUCAAUCACAUUCACAAGAUGUGCGUGUGUCUUUAUCUGGCUCAGAAGCCCUUUGUAUAAAAU
rnacentral:lncRNA from 1 species